UACGGAGGGUGCAAGCGUUAAUCGGAUUUAUUGGGCGUAAAGGGGGCGCAGGCGGGAAGAUAAGUCAGAUGUGAAAGCCCAGGGCUCAACCUUGGAACAGCAUUUGAAACUAUUUUUCUUGAGGAUAGGCGGAGAAAACGGAAUUCCACAAGUAGCGGUGAAAUGCGUAGAUAUGUGGAAGAACACCCGUGGCGAAAGCGGUUUUCUAGCUUAUUCCUGACGCUGAGGCCCGAAAGCUAGGGGAGCAAAC
rnacentral:rRNA from 1 species